GACGAACGCUGGCGGCGUGCUUAACACAUGCAAGUCGAACGGAAAGGCCCUGCCUUUGUGGGGUGCUCGAGUGGCGAACGGGUGAGUAACACGUGAGUAACCUGCCAUUGCCUUUGGGAUAACUUCAGGAAACUGGGGCUCAUACCGGAUAGGAGCUAUUGCUGCAUGGUGGGGGUUGGUAAGUUUCGGCGGUUGGGGAUGGACUCGCGGCUUAUCAGCUUGUUGGUGGGGUAGUGGCUUACCAAGGCUUUGACGGGUAGCCGGCCUGGGAGGGUGACCGGCCACAUUGGGACUGAGAUACGGCCCAGACUCCUACGGGAGGCAGCAGUGGGGAAUAUUGCACAAGGGGCGGAAGCCUGAUGCAGCAACGCCGCGUGCGGGAUGACGGCAUGCGGGUUGUAUACCGCUUUCGCCUGUGACGAAGCGUUAGUGACGGUAACGGGUAAAGAAGCACCGGCUAACUACGUG
rnacentral:rRNA from 1 species